rnacentral:rRNA from 1 species
CACGUAGGGCGCAAGCGUUGUCCGGAAUUAUUGGGCGUAAAGAGCUCGUAGGCGGUCUGUUGCGUCCGCUGUGAAAACUCGGGGCUUAACCCCGAGCCUGCAGUGGAUACGGGCAGACUAGAGGUAGGUAGGGGAGAAUGGAAUUCCCGGUGUAGCGGUGAAAUGCGCAGAUAUCAGGAGGAACACCAGUGGCGAAGGCGGCUUACUGGUCCGGUACUGACGCUGAGGUGCGAAAGCGUGGGGAGCAAACAGG